UUUCAGAGGCCCGUCACUGUGGUGAUUGAGGUGGACAGAAGGCAUGGACAUGACCAAGGCCCUUAAAAGACACAAACAGGUGGAGAGUGUGCUGGGGGUGGGCAGAGGGCUGGGGACUACAAAAGCAGGAGGCUCGCUUGGAGAGCAGGGACAAGAGAAGGCAGAGGGUGAGGCUGGCAAGGAGCAGGAAGAGGGGAGGGAACAUGGGACGCAAAGUUGCAGCUGAACAGGACACAAGAGGAGGUUAAGUAACAAUAAAAAACAGACCUAAGAGAAAGACAGGCAGCUGAGAGGAGGGAGCACAGGGGAGAGAUGACAGACCAUUGGGGCCAGGGGCAUACAUACAGGAAGACAAAGAUGGUUCCUUUGUGUGUGACUAGAAGGCCGGCGAUUCAAAGGAGAAGAGUAAAAGGAAAGAAAACAGGGUAUAAGUGAGGAGACAAAAUAAGUAAUAAGUGCACAGAUACUAGUUAAAUGCUUUCAAAAUCACCAGGCUGUUAGGCUGAGUUGGAGGAAGCCUCACAGCCAGACCCAGGAGGGGACCCUCAGUAAGACAGAGGCAGGCAAUUUAAGUAGCUAGCUACUGAGGUAAAAAUGAAAAAAAAAAAAAUAGAAAAUGGAAAAGGUGAGAAGCAGGAGAAGGAAAACCCAAAGGAGACACUGGCCCAGAAACCUUUUUAACUUUCUGUAAGAAUCUUCAAGGCCCCAAACUAGGCCAAGAUUCUGACUGACAUUUCUGAGCUCACCAGCUGCUGUUUCCUUGAGAGAAUUCUGACAGGAAGGCAUAGAAAUGCAAGCCAACACUGCCAGCUCUGAAAAAAAAAACACAAAUAAUAACAACCCAUGCUCUAAACACCUCAAUGGGGCCGAAGCCUGCCAGGGAAGAAGGCGCACCGCGGAGGGACCCGCCUGCAACUUUCCCCCAGGUUUGGAAAAGCGAUGUGUGGCUAUACCAAGGAAUCCUCACCCUAGAGGCUACAGUCACCUCCCAAGGGAGCUGCCCCCUGCUCUGGCUGGUCAAACGGAACCAAGUCCGUCUUCCUGAGAGGUUUGGUCCCCUUCAACCAGCUACAGCAGGGCUGGCAAUGCCCAGUCCUUGGAGAAACAGAAGAGAUUCACCGGAAGCUGAAAUUACCUACUAAUGCUUCCCUUAAGAAAAUUACUCUGAUUUUGUCAUAUACUCUCACGCUCCCAGCAAGGGAGAAGAGAGGAGCCCUGGGUUCCAAAAGUGGACAAGAUUUUCAUGCUCAACACAUGGAGCUCUGUGCCCUUGCAACCACAAUUAGACCUACUCACAGGCUCUUGAUACACACAUCGUCAGUAAAGAUUUUGAGGAUCGAAUUUGUACCAGCCAGGGGAAGAUAAUGGGACCUAGAAGACAGGGCUCCUGCUCACAUGGGGCUAACAGUCUGAGUAAAGAAAUCAGACAUAUGAAUAUGGCACAAUUUAAUGGAAUUGCAGGUCAAAGCAUGCCUAGUGCUAAGACACAAUUCUUCUUACAUAGACCGUCAAAUAUGCCUGGCACAUGGCAGGCAUCAAAUCCCCACCCAUCCAUUCAGCCCAAGAUACCUGUUUACUAAGCAAUAUACACAUGACUCAAUUUCCUGAUCUGUAGAAUGGGAUAAUAAUCAUAACACCCACCACAUAUGGUUUUAUGUGCAAUGAAAUGAGAAUACAUGUAAAGGAGUUAGAAAGCUCUCAAUAAUUAUUACUUGUUAUUAAUAGAAUAACCUGACCUGUCUUUCCAAUUUCUCUUCCAAAAUGUAUAUCUCUGACAUUGUACCUAGGAGGGUGCCCAGAACUUAGCUAGAGCUCAGUAACAUUUGUUAUUUGAAUUCCAGAAACAUGUGUGACUCACAUGCUGCACUCUGACACAGGGCGGGCUCAUAAUGCCCAGAGCCCACCAAGUCUCCACACGGGAGAUGUGGUGCUUUUCUGCACGCGUCUUGGAACCUGGGAGCCCUGGGUUUGGAUCCUGCCCCUCUCAUUUAUUUGCUCUGCUACCGCCUCUCUGAACUUCAGUUAACAUUGCAUGAACCUUAGUUUCCUCAUCUGCAAAAUGGGGACAAUGAUACUUAACUUCAAAUUGCUUUAAGGAUUUAAAAUGGUAAUGUUGGGACGCCUGGGUGGCUCAGUCGGUUAAGUGUCCCACUUCGGCUCAGGUCACGAUCUCACAUGUCAGAGUCUGUGCUGACAGCUCAGGGCCUGGACCCUGCUUUGGAUUCUGUGUCUCCCUCUCUCUCUGCCCUCCCCUACUCGUCCUCUCCCUCUCUCUCUCUCUC